UUGCCUGAAUUAGCAGGUGAUUUCAUUCUCCAUUCAUGUUUAGCAGAGAAAAUCUAGCCUCAGGAUGAAAAUGUGAAACAGAAGUUCUUGGCAAAUCUGAAAAGUGGAACAGAGAUUUAGUCUUAUGAAUGAAGGGAAACAAUACUCGUUUUUAUUAAGCAGCUGCUUAUUUCAGCAUUAGAACUAUUUUUACACUGAAAGGUCAUAGAGAAAGGAGGAUCCCCAUUCUAACCUGUUCCCCUAUACUAAGCAUAUCCAAAAGUUUUUAAUUGAUUACAAAUUACUUAAUUUGGCAUUUGGCUUAUAUUCUUCCUUCUUUACUUUAAUUCCUACACUCAUCCUGAGUGAAUUAUCACCAAGUAGACAUAUAAUGCUGCUGGGAAGGAGAUGUUAUACCAUGUGAUGUAUUAGUGUCUAUUAUCUGAACCUUAUACCCUGUAAGCCAAAGUAUUGUAUCAUAAAUUCUCCCUUGUAUUCCCCAAAUUAGAAGUUCUGUGACGUGCUCAUCUCCAGUGAUCUCUGCUUCCCUUCAUUCACUUACUUCUAUUACCACACCCUAGAUCUUGUCAUACAUCCAGUCUGUUUCACCUAUAGCUUCAUAAAUGCAAAUUUCAGUUGUUUGGCCAGAACUUUCAUCCUACUCUAUCAAUAUUUUCCCAGUACAACCAUACUUAGAACACUCCAGUGUUCUUCCCUACUCUUUGUCACUCUGUCACCUUUCUCUGACUUGGAACCUACAGUCUAUAGACAUCUCUUUUUCUCUAUAAUAACCUUCACCUGUUUUCACUUCCUUUUGUCUCCUGCUGUGAGCUAUAUUAAAUAAUGUUACUACUUUCUUGCAGGGAGCCACAACCAUCUUCCCAUGUUGUUCUUCUAUCACACUUGCCUAACAAAACACCAAAUCCAACUGCAUGCUUGCACCCAGAUUGUUCAUUGUACCCAGAUAGAAAAAAGACUGAAGUGCAGAUUGGCUUUUUAAAACUAUAAAUUCAGGAUCACAAACUUCAGCUAGAUCCCUCUCUCUCCAUGCUAUUGGAGGGCAGUGUUACAUCUUGUAAUGUAUUACUCUCUAC
rnacentral:lncRNA from 1 species